CUAGUACUCCCUCCGUCCCAAAUUACUUGUCGUAAAAAUGGAUAAAAAUGGAUGCAUUUAGAAUUAAAAUACAUCUAGAUACAUCCAUUUCCACGACAAAUAAUUUCGGACGGAGGGAGUAGCAU
rfam:Triticum aestivum genome assembly, contig: Triticum_aestivum_CS42_TGACv1_scaffold_031041_1BL